CCCUUAGAUGUUCUGGGCCGCACGCGCGCUACACUGAUUCAUGCAACAAGUUUUGUCCUUGGCUGAUAGGCCUGGGUAAUCUUUGAACGUGAAUCGUGAUGGGGAUAGAUGAUUGCAAUUAUUCAUCUUCAACGAGGAAUUCCUAGUAAACGCAAGUCAUCAGCUUGCAUUGAUUACGUCCCUGCCCUUUGUGCACACCGCCCGUCGCACCUACCGAUUGAAUGGUCCGGUGAAAUCUUCGGAUCUGAGAGAUGUCUGAUUAAUUUCGGACGCCUUUUGGAAAAGUUGCUUAAACCUUACCAUUUAGAGGAAGGUGAAGUCGUAACA
rnacentral:rRNA from 1 species